GAGUUUGAUCGUGGCUCAGAUUGAACGCUGGCGGCAUGCUUUACACAUGCAAGUCGAGCGGCAGCGCGGGGGCAACCCUCGGCGGCGAGCGGCGAACGGGUGAGUAACACAUCGGAACGUGUCCUAUGGUGGGGGAUAACCUGGCGAAAGCCAGGCUAAUACCGCAUGGUCUGGAGACAGCAAAGCGGGGACCGCAAGGCCUCGCGCCCUGGGAGCGGCCGAUGUCCGAUUAGCUAGUUGGUGGGGUAAAGGCCCGACCAACGGCGACGAUCGGUAGCUGGUCUGAGAGGAUGAUCAGCCACACUGGGACUGAGACACGGCCCAGACUCCUACGGGAGGCAGCAGUGGGGAAUAUUGGACAAUGGGGGCAACCCUGAUCCAGCAAUGCCGCGUGAGUGAUGAAGGCCUUAGGGUUGUAAAGCUCUUUCGGGCGAGACGAUGAUGACGGUAUCGCCGGAAGAAGCCCCGGCUAACUUCGUGCCAGCAGCCG
rnacentral:rRNA from 1 species